AUAUAAUAAAAGUAUUUUCGGAUUUUUAACAUUUUUUUCGCAAAUACCGCUUAACUACAUAUUUACCGCCUUCACUUUAAAAUUCGAGUGCACGAUCGAAAACAGUCACUACUUUAGGCUUUUUGAGCAUACAAGGCUUACAUUUACAAAAAAUAUCUUUCAUACGAAAGCGUCACGAUCUAUGUAAACAAUAACAUAGACUUGCCUUUGUUCUUAUUCUCCUCGUGACAUGGCCGUAGUAGUAAUCUGUGCAGCCAGAGAUUAACUCACACGUUUUACAAAACAUUUUUCGCAGGCGGUAAUUUCAUUUUAAGGUAUCGAUUCUCAUAUUAAAUAAACCGUAAAUGGGACCGAGUCGUAUGGAAAUGUUAAACUGAUGAAAUACAGGAAGAAAACUAUGAUUUUAAGCGUAAACGUGAUAGCGAAGUAUACAACUCGAUUCUUGAAUCGAUACUUUCGAACUCAAAAAACGUCUCGCAAAAGUCGUAUUUAUACAGUUGGUACCGAAGCCAUUAUGUUUGUUUUGAUACAUGAACGAAGAUGAAAAGUGGUUAAUAAAGUAGUCUUUAGGUGGGAAAUUUGUGUUUAGGAAUCUGUACUGAUUAUUAAAUGUUGUCUAUGUUGUUAUUAAUUUAAUUGACCUUUCCAGUCAAAAAAUCGUGUACAAGUAAGCAGAUUUCGGGUCAAUUUCGCGAAAAGGGUUUUUUGUGUGUAAUUUCGUGUUUUAAUUAAAAUUGCUAACAUUUCGCGUUAUUUCGCUUUAUUUCGCGGUUCGCGAAAAUUUCAGUGCCCUACAUAUAAGCCUUAAUCACUUUGGGAAACUUAAGCACUUCACAAAAGGUGAUAACAUCUUAAGCUACGUUUUCCAAGGACCACGCAUGCGCGAUGCGCGAUGCGUGAUGCGUCACUGCGUGACCACGCAGCACUUGAACCUGUGUGUUGAAACGGGGAUGAUUUCCAAGGCCGCGCAAGCGGGGGUUUCCCGCUCGCCGCGGCUGCGUGUCGCGGAUGGGCAUCGCGCAGCAGUUGCCUGGCCCCCGACUUCAGCGUGAUCACGCAUGCGAUUUAUCUGGAGUCAAAGAGUUUUACUGCAGAACAGGACGAGAAAUUGAUUGAUUUAGUAAGGGAGCAUCGUGUGUUAUAUGAUUUGCAUCACUGCAAGUACAAAGACAGUAUUGUUCGAGAAAAUGUGUGGAAGGAAAUUGCAGCUUCUUUAAACAAAGGUGCAGAAGACUGCAAAACGAGAUGGAGAACCAUUCGCGACUCCUACAGAAAAAGCAACAAGAAACUGAAAACUGGGUCGAAGACAGGUUCACCGGCAUUUUCAAAAUCGAAAUACAACACAGAAAGCCUGAAAUUCCUUGAUGAAACCUACAAAGAAAGAGCAUCAAAAUCAAGCAUCAACAUAAAUGAAAUAAUUGAAAAUAAUCAAGAAACACAAGAAAUGGUGGAUGACUGUCCCUCUGAAGAGUGCAACCAAUUUCAAGAAGAAGAAAGCGCUCAAGAAUCUACAAAUUGGCCUAGCGAGCAAACAAGUUCUUCAGAAUUGUUAAACAGCUCCAUUAAAAAAAGAAAAAUUACAGUAAAAGAAAAAAUGUUAGAUGAAAUAAGAAAAGGUCGUGAAGAAAGAGGGAAAAUAUUAAAAGAUCUACUUGAAAACCGCGGCCAAGAUCGUUCGCAACAUCCGAUAGACAUAUUCUUCCAGAGCAUGUCUGAAACUGUUAAGCAAUUCCCCCCACACCUCAUUGCGGAAACUAGAUUAAAAGUGUGCCAAGUUGUGUCUCAGAUGGAACUGAGAUCGUUGAUGGAGCAUCAGAACCAGACUAAUCCUAAUCACCAACAAUGUUAUCAACAUGUGGAUAUUGGCAGCGGUUUUCCUGUCUCUGUCAUAGAUCCCACCCAAAUUUGUGAAUCUACUGGCAGUAAUAGCUUGAUUCAUUCAACAGAUAGCUGUAAUUCUAGUGGUAACGAUGCUAAUGUGGAAGAAAGUGACUUCGUGAGACUAAUUUAGAAAAUAACCAGUAUUAGUUCUGUGAGUAGAUGAAUGCAUAGUCAGAGACAUUUUAGGAAAUUCAUCAGUACAUGGACAUUUAAAUUUUUAUUAAACCUAUAAUUUCAA